CUACUUUAGUGCCCACACAGGGACAGAGCAUCCAGACUGAGAGGGACAUAGGCAGAAGCUUGGAGGGAAAAAUUCCCUGCAGUGACCCAAGGUCCUGAGGCAGAACCACAGGGCUCCAUUUACCUCCUCAAGAGCCUGUGACCUGAAGGUUGAGCUCAAGGACACAUCCAAGCAAGUCACUGGAGUUUUCCCUUUGCUCUCUGCCUGCUGACCCCUGCUCUCUCCUCAUUACUCCCCAAAAAAUGGAACUUUCCACACGAGAAAUUUGCCUCAACUUCAUGGUUGUCCUGAUUACUGUGAUCCUCAUGUGGCUCCUUGUGAAGUCUUAUCAGGAUUGAAAGGCUCUCAGAAACUCUGGAGGUGAUUUCAGUGUGUGCCUCCACAGAUAUCAGUACCACCCACAACAUGCCACACCAAUUAGCUUUCAGUCAAUUGAGGAUGUCCUGAACCUUUAUUUUUUACUCUCUCCUAUCUGUUGCCUGUGCUAAUGUCUGUAGUGGGUCUGUGAUGGUGUAAUUCUUUCAGUCUGCAGUGAUCCAGCUGUAAAAUGUGAGAUGCUUAGGAGCAGUUUGAUGUGGCUGUCUCCUCUGAUAGUCUCUGUGAAUGCUGUAUCCCCAGCCCACUGAUGAUGCUUGUUUGGCAUCAGUGUUGGGUUCUGGAGGGUGUAAAACUGCAGCAUGUAUUGUGAGAGCCUGUAUUGUCCAAUGUAAAAUGCAUAAAUUUGCUUAGCAAAAAGGAAUGUGAAACGUCUGCUUCCAUUUGCACAUUUUGUUUAAAUAAAGACCACAUAAAAUCA